GAUGAACGCUGGCGGCGUGCCUAAUACAUGCAAGUCGAGCGAACGGACGAGAAGCUUGCUUCUCUGAUGUUAGCGGCGGACGGGUGAGUAACACGUGGAUAACCUACCUAUAGGACUGGGAUAACUUCGGGAAACCGGAGCUAAUACCGGAUAAUAUUUUGAACCGCAUGGUUCAAAAGUGAAAGACGGUCUUGCUGUCACUUAUAGAUGGAUCCGCGCUGCAUUAGCUAGUUGGUAAGGUAACGGCUUACCAAGGCAACGAUGCAUAGCCGACCUGAGAGGGUGAUCGGCCACACUGGAACUGAGACACGGUCCAGACUCCUACGGGAGGCAGCAGUAGGGAAUCUUCCGCAAUGGGCGAAAGCCUGACGGAGCAACGCCGCGUGAGUGAUGAAGGUCUUCGGAUCGUAAAACUCUGUUAUUAGGGAAGAACAUAUGUGUAAGUAACUGUGCACAUCUUGACGGUACCUAAGCAGAAAGCCACGGCUAACUACGU
rnacentral:rRNA from 1 species